rnacentral:rRNA from 1 species
UACACUCCUACGGGAGGCAGCAGUAGGGAAUCUUCGGCAAUGGGGGCAACCCUGACCGAGCAACGCCGCGUGAGUGAAGAAGGUUUUCGGAUCGUAAAGCUCUGUUGUAAGUCAAGAACGAGUGUGAGAGUGGAAAGUUCACACUGUGACGGUAGCUUACCAGAAAGGGACGGCUAACUACGUGCCAGCAGCCGCGGUAAUACGUAGGUCCCGAGCGUUGUCCGGAUUUAUUGGGCGUAAAGCGAGCGCAGGCGGUUUGAUAAGUCUGAAGUUAAAGGCUGUGGCUCAACCAUAGUUCGCUUUGGAAACUGUCAAACUUGAGUGCAGAAGGGGAGAGUGGAAUUCCAUGUGUAGCGGUGAAAUGCGUAGAUAUAUGGAGGAACACCGGUGGCGAAAGCGGCUCUCUGGUCUGUAACUGACGCUGAGGCUCGAAAGCGUGGGGAGCGAACAGGAUUAGAUACCCUUGUAGUCCCAUG